UACGUAGGGGGCUAGCGUUGUCCGGAUUUAUUGGGCGUAAAGAGCGUGUAGGCGGCCAGGUAGGUCUGCUGUGAAAACUCGAGGCUCAACCUCGAGACGUCGGCGGAAACCAUCUGGCUAGAGUCCGGAAGAGGAGAGUGGAAUUCCUGGUGUAGCGGUGAAAUGCGUAGAUAUCAGGAAGAACAUCGGUGGCGAAGGCGCUCUGCUGGACCAUAACUGACACUCAGGGACGAAAGCUAGGGGAGCGAAUGGG
rnacentral:rRNA from 1 species